CUGCUCUGUGUCUUCCUUUCUCUCGCUUACUCUUCCUCGGAAACUCUUUGUGCCUCUAUUCCUGCGCUAGCCACCGCUUCCCUGGUCCUAUUCACCUAUGCACACAGGUACACGGGAUGAGAAGGUGCCUCCGAAACGCUGUCUGCUUGAGAAUCUACACGGGCUCUCCUUCCUCUGCAACGCCAUGUCGACCGUCAACACCGACACCAACACCCGCACCAGUACUGGAGAAGGUAAGAACGGCAAUACCAACGGAGGCAACAACACCAACAAUGUCUCAACUAGUACUGGAGCAUUCUCCGGAUAUAUUCAUCCUCGUUUUAAACUUGCUGUUAGAUACCAUAGUUCCUGUUAGUAUAUUCAUGUUUAUCAUCAUGCCAAUCAUAUGUGAAUAUACUUGAUGUUUAUGCUUA